UCAAACUCAAUUUACAGCACUCUAGGGGUGCUUCUCCAGCUAGCAUCUCUAAACAUUUCUACAGGCUUCUGAAACACAUUGUCAGCUUACUACAGAGGCUGGCGCAAGUCUGUUUUGGAAGGCUGAAAGUACUAUGAGUCUGAGAAGUCUGAGUGGGAGGCCUGAAGACAGGUGUCCAAAGGCAACGGUGAAGACUGGCGCUCCUCUGAAAAAGUAUGAUAACGGCACCUUUUCCUGAUUUCUAUCUUCAAAGGACAGUACAAUGUGCGCAGACAUCAAGAAUGAACUUCGGUGCAGUAAUGAAGAAUGGUAUCAUGAAAAGUACUGGUGAUUAGCUGGUUAAAAGCACUAUCAAUAGUGAUGACACGAGAGCUCCUUUAACCUUUCAGGUUAAAGACAUUGUAACACCUCAUUCUGGAACCGCAUCAAGUUCCCUGGUAUUAGCACUGAAAUUAUAUAUGCAAUUUUGAUCAUAACAAACACAACCUGCACAUUUUAGAAAUAAUUUACAACUGGAGAUAAAUGCAGUAUACUGCCAGUACUAUAAAUAACCUUUAAGAUUUCAUUAUUCAAUCGGGUGUCAAAGCAAACAGCCACAGACGCUUGCUUAACGAAGGGAACGUUUUUCAGGAUUAUCCUCAUGGUUAUGUCUUCAAUUGUGCAGACUGGAAGGAUUUGCGAGAGAAACUGAAUAAUCUUGCAUUAUAUGAAUAAUUUAUAAUCACAGCAGAGUCAGUGAUUCCCUGGCUUAUCGCACAUUUGCAUGUUAUAAUCAAUAAAGUCCACACACACCCAACUAUACCAUGGAACUUUGUUUAAAAUAAAACUUCUCCAACA